rnacentral:lncRNA from 1 species
UGGAACCGGAAUGCCGAGCUGAGCCUGCGGUACCAGCGGAACUGGCAGAGGAACUUGCAGCUGACAUGCAGCCUCAGCAUAUCACUGGGUUAUGGAAACACGAAUGACGCCAGCGACUAGAAUUCACAGGCCAGCUCUAUUUGUAUAGUGUCAAAUGAUUAUAUGUCUAGCCCACUACGGCCUAGAAUAAAGCUUAGCAUGGUUUUUGUUUCUUAAGUUUAGCAAGUUUAGGUUUUCCAGGAUGAUUAUUGUUGGAAAUAUGGUCACAAUAAUUUGACAUAUUUUAAUCCAAAAUAAUAAGACAACAUACAUGACAAUUAUCAUUCGAAAUAAUCUAAUGAACAUGGAUAACAAACUAAUCAUCAUGCUUAAUAUAUAAUAAGCACAGACAGACA